rnacentral:rRNA from 1 species
CUUGGUCAUUUAGAGGAAGUAAAAGUCGUAACAAGGUUUCCGUAGGUGAACCUGCGGAAGGAUCAUUAAUAUCGCCCCGUUUUAAUCGCAAGAUUAGAAUGGGUUCAAUACCCAAAACCGUGUAUACCUUACCUUUGUUGCUUUGGCAGGCCGCCUUCGGGCGUCGGCUCCGGCUGAUCAGCGCCUGCCAGAGACCCAAAACUCUGUGUUUAGUGAUGUCUGAGUAUUAUAAAAUAUUUAAAACUUUCAACAACGGAUCUCUUGGUUCUGGCAUCGAUGAAGAACGCAGCGAAAUGCGAUAAGUAAUGUGAAUUGCAGAAUUCAGUGAAUCAUCGAAUCUUUGAACGCACAUUGCGCCCCGUGGUAUUCCGCGGGGCAUGCCUGUUCGAGCGUCAUUUAGACCAAUCAAGCCUGUGCUUGGUAUUGGGGUUUGCGGUUCCGCAGCCUCUAAACGCAGUGGCGGUGCUAUUGAGCUCUGAGCGUAGUAAAUCUCCUCGCUAUAGAGUCUCGGUAGUUACUUGCCAACAACCCCCAACUUAUCAAGGUUGACCUCGGAUCAGGUAGGGAUACCCGCUGAACUUAAGCAUAUCAAUAAGCGGAGGA